ensembl:lncRNA
GAGAGAGAGAGAGAGAGAGAGAGAGAGAGAGAAUAAAAGCAUUAGAGAAUGUGAAGCCUUAGCCUUAUGUGAAGCCUUAGAAGAAAAUCUUGUUUGGUCCAACAGAUCCUGAGUUGGGAAAGUUUUGAAAGGACAAAAACAGGAUAUGCCAAUAUCACUGUGUUCAACCUGCAAUUUCCACAUAGACACAUCAAGAACAUAUACUUGGCCUUUGAUUGGCCCUGUUUCACUGAACAUUGCUGCAUGUUUUGUACGUUUGUUUUGAAAAGAGAAAAGAGAAUUUUGGUUGUCUCACUAUUUUCCCUUCAGUCAUUAUUCAUUUUUCAUAGCAUCUACAGUGAAACUAAUAAUUAAUGUCAUUUAGAUGUGAAAAUGAGGAAGGUAACUCUGGACUUAGAUCCUAGAAGUUUAAGGGACAAUUUUAAGGCAUUACAUUUGUUCUAAGGUGUGUAAAGGUUUUCAAUUAAAUCCAAUUAAAACUUAUGAACCUCUUCCUGCUGUUUAGGAAAGGUGCUGGUGUUGGCUCAGACGUGACCAGCUAAUAAUUAAUCAUCAUUGUUUCCACAUAUUCAUGUAGCUGCUAUACAAAGCAAAAUUCCAGUGGGAAAUGAACACAUCUAACAUUCAAAUCUACUUGCACAAGAACUGAUACAGUUGCACCUCAUUGUUAUUUUUUAUUUUUAUUUUUGCUGUGUUGAACAAAUAUCAUUCUCACAACAUCCAGUGUUACCUAAUGAGCAAUUCAUACAACUUUCAACAAAAAAGUGCAACAUGGUUUUGUUUGAGUUAUAAACAAAUGAUCUUGCUUAACCCUUUAAAUCACUGUGGUUAAACACCCGGGCUUUACAUUUCACUGAAAAGAGUCCAAAUGAAGUGUGCUAAUUAGGGAGUUCAAUAUGUUAAAUUUCACUGGGCCUGUUGUGGGUGAAUUGCAAAGAAUAAUUGCAUACAUAAUACCACAUGAAACGUUGGGAGAGGAUACAAUAUGUAAAUAAGGAUUUCUUCUCAUUAUCCUUUGCAGGCUCAGAUCUUUAAGGGAUUUAUGGAUGAGUAAAAUUGAAAUUUGCCAAAUAUAACCUGUAAUGCUGAUUAAAGACAGUGAGACAUGUUAAGAAACACAAAUAACAACAUGAACAUACAGUAUGUGUGCACAUAUACACAUGUACUUCUUUUCUUUAAUGAUUUUGGCAAUUUCGGUUCAAACAUGCAGUAAAUAUCUAAUAUGAGACCAUCCAUCCAUCCAUCCAUUUUCUGUAUCGCUGAUCCUACACAGGGUCGCGGGGAGUCUAUCACAGGGGAUUGUGUGCAAGGUUGGGGGACAGUCUGGAUGGUGUGCUAAUCCAUCGCAGGGCACAAUCACACACAUAUUCACACACUAUGGACAGUUUAGGGAUACCAAUCAGUCUACAACACAUGUCUUUGGACUGGGGGAGGAAACCUGAGUACCCUGAGGAAACCCCUGAAGAACAGGGAGAACAUACACACUUUGUGCACACAGAUGCGAGGCAAACGUGCUAACCACUAAGACAAUGUGCCCCCCCACUCCUUAAUAUGGGACUGACUUAAUAAAAAUAAAUCAUAAUAUCAAGAUUAUGUCUCAUUAUUUUGAGACACUAAGAUAAAAUUUUGAGAAAGAGUAAUUUUUUUUUUACAUUUAUUUGAUCGUCAGUAAAUAUUUUUUCCUGGUUAUGGUUGUGGUGGAUUCAGAGCUUAUCACGGGAACACUGGGAGUGAGUUGGGAAUAAACCCUGGAUGGGAUGCCGAUCUAUUACAGGGCAUCAUACACAGACUUCACAUACCCAUUCACACCUAGGGACAGUUUAUCAUAGCUAAUCAACCUACUGCAUGUUUUUUGAAAGCAGGAAGAAAUAGCAGAACCUGGAGGAAAUCUCAGAAGAUGUGAGGAAGCAACUCUACCCGCUGUGCCACCAUGACACCCAAAAUGUUUUAUUAAUGUUAAUUAAAUAUGUUUUAGUUGUAUACAAUUUUAAAUGACGGAAAUUUGGGUACGCAAAUUGUCAUUUGUGUUAAAUUGCCAUUUGUGUUAUAACUGAAGUGACUUUGAAGAUUAAAUUCUAAAUUAAUCUAUUUGCUAUGUCACUGCUCUGUAUUUUGCAAUUUCUGCAGAAAUGCCCACUAUUAUUUAGAAAAUACAUGCUAAAUGGGCAAAGCAUUUUUAAAAUGUGUUAUUGACAUUCUUAGAUGCACACAAACCUUUAUUAAGUCAAAGCCAUAAUAUUUUCCUAAUUCUUUGGAUUAGUGCCUAAUGUAAGAAAGUAUAGCUUUUAUGAGCAUAUUUAAUGCUUUUAAAGCAAGACACACAGGAAAGAGAGGAAUAACAGUAGUUCCUUUGCAAAACUGGGACAGUAUAGUUACUGAAGGAAGUCCUCAAAAAUUGCUUACCAGUGUAAUCUGGCUAUUUUUGUACUCCUGUUUGCAUAGAAAAUGAUGAUAAUGCUAAUCAAAUACAGAAAUGAGCCCUUAGAAGAAAGAAUUGUACUCCAGAUCAAUUGAAGUUUGAUGAGCAAUGAGCAACUCAUACAAGAAUAUGCUUUGAAAUAAAUGUUGUCUGUGCUUUAAAAUGGGGCACGCCAUGAAGCCCUAGUUUCUCAAAGGACAACUGAGCCUCAGUGCAGCUACUUCAGUGUGUCUGCCUCAGAGACUGUUCCUGCCUCUCUCCUACACUUCCUCCUGUAAAAUUACUCCCCAGGGACCGACCAUGUUCUGGACGUGAUUGUAUUUUAUCUCUCCCCCUGCUUUACUCCCAAGGAGUCAUUUCUUGCUGCUCCCCAUGCAAAUGUCCCAUUUAUCCAUGUCCAUAGGGACCGCCGCUCUCCUCUCACCUCACCAAUUAGAUCAGAUUUUUUCGAAGAAGGUUUUGGAGACCAUUAAAAUGGGCCUGAUCAAAAGAGAUUCCAUUAUAGAUAGGGUGAUGUGUUGAUGAAAGGAAACCAGUAGGAGGAGCUCCAUCCACAGAUCUCAGUGUGUUCGCACACAUAUUCUUUCACAGAAAACAGAGGUUGGUCCAUGGUCAUUUGCAAGUCCUUGAACUUGCUAUCUAUUUAACCUUCAACUCCUGCACUAUAAGCCAAAUCACACAUCCUGUAUCAAGUGCUUAGUCUCUGCUACUUUGUAUCAAGGGCUAAAGAAACCCCACUGUGAGCUGCAAAGCUGAGACAACGACACAUCAAUGUAGCACAUGACAGCCAUAUAUAAAAGCUGGUUUAAAAGAGAUUGAUUUGAAGUUCUUGUUUAUAAAGGCUCCAGCUCUUUCAAAGACAAAAUCAGUUUCUUGAUUCACUGUGGAUCUCCACAGCGCUGUAGGAUCAAAAAUGGACAAGAAUCUUUAUACACUGCUGAGUGGGCAGCAGUUUCAAGAUUGAUAUGAGGAUUUGCAUCAUAACUUUUACAUUUCAGAUACAAUCAUUUCUUAUUUGCACCAGGGAGGAAUAUAAUCCUUAUUGGGUAAAAAGGAAAAGGCAUUAUAUCCCUACAGUUCAUAUCUUGCUUUUAGUUUUAAUUAGGCUACUGCAUAAUUAAAAUACAUAAACAGCAUCAUAGCCCCAAGUGGCCACUUUCCUGCUGGUUAACCUCACU